rnacentral:rRNA from 1 species
CUAAGGCUCCAGAGGAAGCCACGGCUAACACUGUGCCAGCAGCCGCGGUAAUACAGAGGCGGCAAGCGUUGUUCGGAAUUAUUGGGCGUAAAGAGCACGUAGGUGGGUUUGUAAGUCAGAUGUGAAAGCCUCCUGUUCAACGGGAGAAUUGCAUCUGAAACUACUGAUCUUGAGUAUAGGAGGGGAGAAUGGAACUUCUGGUGGAGCGGUGAAAUGCGUAGAUAUCAGAAGGAACGCCGGCGGCGAAAGCGAUUCUCUGGCCUAUUACUGACACUCAGUGUGCGAAAGCUAGGGGAGCAAACGGGAUUAGAUACCCCGGUAGUCCUAGCCGUAAA